rnacentral:lncRNA from 1 species
AUUUUUGCAUAAGUCGCCCUUUCAGGUUUUCAACUUAUCGAGCUAUUUUUUUUUUCAUUUUUCUUCAAGCGUAGUAUUUUUUGAAUGCAUCUGCAUUCACAGGGGACAAAAGAUCCUCACCAUCCAUAGUUGCAAGGAUCAAGGCUCCUCUAGAGAAGACCUUUCUUACAACGUAUGGACCUUCGUAGUUUGACAUCCAUUUUCCCCUUGGAUCGGUGUGUAUGGGAAUAAUCUUCUUCAAUACAAGGUCUCUAACUUCGAGGCUGCGGGGGAAUACCUUCUUGUCAUGUGCCCUCUUAAUGCACUUUUGAUAAAGCUGGUCGUGGCAGAUGGCUG